UACGUAGGUGGCAAGCGUUGUCCGGAUUUAUUGGGCGUAAAGCGAGCGCAGGCGGUUCCUUAAGUCUGAUGUGAAAGCCCACGGCUCAACCGUGGAAGGUCAUUGGAAACUGGGGAACUUGAGUGCAGAAGAGGAGAGUGGAAUUCCAUGUGUAGCGGUGAAAUGCGUAGAUAUAUGGAGGAACACCAGUGGCGAAGGCGACUCUCUGGUCUGUAACUGACGCUGAGGCUCGAAAGCGUGUGGAGCAAACAGGAUUA
rnacentral:rRNA from 1 species